rfam:Gossypium raimondii Chr10_contig_877, whole genome shotgun sequence.
AAACCAUAAUGACGACACCUUUUAACCAAUCCUUAAAUCUCCCUCAUGUUUCAUAAAGUGUCUCAAACUCAAUUUGAGCAAAAGAAGAGAUAUCAUUCCUCAACUU